rnacentral:rRNA from 1 species
CCUACGGGCGGCAGCAGUGAGGAAUAUUGGACAAUGGGCGCAAGCCUGAACCAGCGAAGUCGCGUGAAGGAUUACUGCCCUACGGGUUGUAAACUUCUGUUAUAAAGGAAUAAAGUGAGGCACGUGUGCCUUUUUGUAUGUACUUUAUGAAUAAUGAUCGGCUAACUCCGUGCCAGCAGCCGCGGUAAUACGGAGGAUCCGAGCGUUAUCCGGAUUUAUUGGGUGUAAAGGGAGCGUAGAUGGGUUGUUAAGUCAGUUGUGAAAGGUUGCGGCUCAACCGUAACAUGGCAAUUGAUACUGGCAGCCUUGAGUAAAGUUGAGGUAGGCGGAAUUCGUGGUGUAGCGGUGAAAUGCUUAGAUAUCACGAAGAACUCUGAUUGCGAAGGCAGCUUACUAGACUGCAACUGACAUUGAGGCUCGAAGGUGUGGGUAUCAAAAGGGAUUAGAUACCCGAGUAGUC